rnacentral:lncRNA from 1 species
GCAGCAGGCGGGUCUCUAUGGGGUGUGAUUUAUGCACUUACUUUGCUAACCUCUCAUGUGUUUACAGCCACUGCACUGCCGCUUUCCUGUGCGCUUCAUGGAAAACACACGGAAAAGUUAAGUUCCCGAUGACGGGGCGGGCAUCCAUGAACUAUGUCUAAGAAAGUAGAUUACUGUCACUGUAUUAAAAUUAUUAUUUAUGAUCAUGGCGGCGUCGCAGCGCGCGAGAAACUCUGAAGUCAAACAGAGCGAAACAUGGAAGCGUCACAUUAUCAGACAGCUGAAGUAUCGCAACAGGACCCAGACGAGCGUCUUCCAGGAGCUCGUAGAGUCAUAUCACAGUCUGCUGGAGAAGUCCAAGCAGAGAGCCCUCAUAACCAAAGGCAUUCUGGGAUCAGGGUCAAGGCCCUCCCUAUCUGAAGAUUCGCUGACAUCUCUAAAAACAACCACCGGUGAGGCUAUAUGAGGUCCAAAACCAUCUCAGUGUUUUGACAUCAGAGCACAGCGGGCUUCAGGAACACGUGGCAGAGGUACAGACUAGAAACCGACUUCUGAAACAAGAAUAUGAUUCUC